rnacentral:rRNA from 1 species
GACGAACGCUGGCGGCGUGCUUAACCCAUGCAAGUCGAACGGAAAGACCCUGCUUUUGUGGGGUGCUCGAGUGGCGAACGGGUGAGUAACACGUGAGUAACCUGCCCUUGACUUUGGGAUAACUUCAGGAAACUGGGGCUAAUACCGGAUAGGAGCUCCUGCUGCAUGGUGGGGGUUGGAAAGUUUCGGCGGUUGGGGAUGGACUCGCGGCUUAUCAGCUUGUUGGUGGGGUAGUGGCUUACCAAGGCUUUGACGGGUAGCCGGCCUGAGAGGGUGACCGGCCACAUUGGGACUGAGAUACGGCCCAGACUCCUACGGGAGGCAGCAGUGGGGAAUAUUGCACAAUGGGCGGAAGCCUGAUGCAGCAACGCCGCGUGCGGGAUGACGGCCUUCGGGUUGUAAACCGCUUUCGCCUGUGACGAAGCGUGAGUGACGGUAAUGGGUAAAGAAGCACCGGCUAACUACGUG